rnacentral:tRNA from 1 species
UCCCUGGUAGUCCAGUGGCUAAGGCUCUGCACUGCCACUGCAGGAGGCACGGGCUCCAUCCCUGCUCAGGGAA